UUUUGAUUUAUUGUAGAGAUGAGAUCUCGCCAAGUUGCCCAGGUUUAAUAAAGAACCAGAAAAUAUUGACAAUAAUCCAGGUUACGACAGUAGAAGAAGCUGCAGAAGAAAUGAAAAAAGUGAUGAUGAUUUAGAUUUUGAUGCUGAUUUACAGGACACAGAAGAUGACAGUCAAGUGAAUUAAUAUUAUUAUAUUAAAAAUCAGCUUAAUGUGAAAUUCUGACCAUCUUUUGACUUUGAAUGUUUCACCAAAACUACCAUGAAAUCCUAAUGCGGAAAUUAGAAAAGUCUAUAUAGCAAGUAGGCUAAGUUUAUAUAUGUACAAUAUAAAUUGUUUAUACUAUUUGAAUAAUUAUAAAACUUCCAUCCAGA